ACAACAGAUACGGAGAAUUGCGGUAGGAACUUGGCUGCUGUUUAUAAACCCGCCGCAAAUUGGCAGGAUAGCGAUGGUUGGUGUAGCGGUUUGACAACUGCACCAAAAAUAAAUAGCAUAGCGGCGGUGACACGUUCCAAUGGCUGGAAAGCAAGACAAUGAACGUGAAAUUAACAUAGCACGUUCAUAGAAUCCUUUUUUCACACAAAGUUAAUUGUGAAGGGGCACAAACCAAUUCUCUGGGAAUCCUCCCCGCCGUGGUGCUCCCCUCUAUCAAUUUCAGUAGUCUCCUCCUUCUCAUUGCUGUGUCCAUCACUGAGCCGCUCCUCCUCCCUCUAACAGUGGUCAGAAACUUAGUCAAGAAUCAGAUUCAUAGUUUGUUAUCUUCCUCACGCGAACACAAAAGGGGUAGAGGCGCGAAACACACCUCCGCACACAAAUCCUUGCCGCCGUUCUUUUCUGCCCGUCAGUACCAGCUGCAUUGCGCUUCCCGUUGUCGGUGGGUCCAUCACCGAUCAGCUUCUUCGUUUAGAUUACUGUGAUCUUACUCAUACCUGGCCUCCAUGUGGUAGCUUUUCUUCUUCCCAGAAUUUGGAUGCAGAUCUUGAAGGCAAGACAGAUCUCAAGAUUCGUGCUUUAGAGGUUGUGGAAAAACUUAGAACUAAAAGAGCAGACAAGCAGUUCAUGCUCCUAUUAGAUGCCUUUAACAAAGACAGGGCAUCUUUACCUCAACCUCUACCAAAUCCACCUCAUUUGGCUCCAUUCCUGUUGUUGUUCCUGUCCCUCGAACACAAGAGAUGAUAAAUGAGAAGUUGAAGAAAGCCGAGGACCUUGGCGAUCAAGGACAGGUUGAUGAGGAGCAAAAAGCAUUGGAAGAAGCCGAAGCACUUGAAGCUUCCGGCAAAGCAGGAGCCUGUAGUGGAUAAUUCAAAUUCUUCAAAAUAUACAGCUACUGAUGUGCGGAUUGUAAGUAGAUUUCCUUUGUUCUAUAACUUUAGUGAGAUAAUAUGCACUCAUAUUUCGAUUACAUUUCAAAUGAUGCAUCAAAAUAAAUGAAAUGUGUAAUGUCAAGUCUUUUUCCAUAUUCUUGCAUCCAACCAUUUCAUUGCAACUUGUGCCUUUUUGAGAGCAAAAUACACAUGUAUGCUGGCACUCAUGAGCAUUUUUCCUUUUUUUGGUCGGUGUGAAUGGCUUUCCUUAUAUUAUAUCAAUUGAUUCUUAUGUUUUCUUAUUCAUAUAUAACUACUCAGACUAGAUAGAAGCUACACGUGUGUGACAUAUGUGGAGCAUUUUUUAGUGUAUAUGACAGGUAACAACUGAUCCUGUGCAAUACAUCUUUUUACCCAUCUUUAAGUUUUGAUGGAGUUAGAAUUUGGGGUUUCAAGUGCUUCAGCUUUGCCUUAAAAUUUCUUGCCACUUCAACUAAAUCCAUGAAUGAAUUGCUUAAUGUUUCUUUUUAUCUUUUUUUAAGAAAAACAUAAAAGAAAACUCCAUCUUCCAAAUAAAGAAAGUGUGAAAGUUCAUCCUUAUCUUUAAUUGAGGAUUGAGUAUACAUAUAGUUGUACAUCUAUUAUAAAUUCAGGAAGAAAGCCAAGGGCCGCAAGGAAUGAAAGGCACCUAUUUUUGUUGGUAAAAUUUAAUAUUAAGAUUGUAAGAAGUAGGAGAGUAAAGAAAGUGAGGAAACAGAUGCCUCAAAGACUUAUUUGGUGUUUCUCUCAGUACUUACUUUUCUAUUUGUCUACACUUUUGUAGUCAGUGAGAUUUCUUCAACAAGAUAGUAUGCUAGUACCACUUUCUUAUCGAUUCACUUGUGUGAAAAUUCAAUAAGUAACCAAAAGGCUUGCCACAAGAAUCCAUGAUAGAUCAUAAGAUGGCAUUACGGAAGAAGUGAAGAUUUAUGUUGAUGCAAAUAUGUUGAAAUAGCGAGAUAUGCUCUUUUUUAACUUUGUUCAUGCACGUUUGGGCAUUCAAGUUUCUCAAUAUAUUCUUCUCUUGGCCAUGGCACAAGGGAUCUCACAGGGCUCUUUCUCCUUUUUAUGUUUUAUUUUAAUGUUUUUUUAAAGGGAGGGAGAUUAGGAAAAGAAUAUCAAAUGAUACAAGGGAGUGGAGGAAAAGAGAUCCUCAGAACUUAUUUUUUGUGCCAUGGCAUCUUCCUCUCUUUAUGUUAGCCAAUGAAAUUUAAAUGUGUAGAGCUUACUUUUUGCUCCUUAUUAAUGUACAGUGAAAUUACUCAUUUUAAA